CCAAUAGCGUAUAUUAAAGUUGUUGCAGUUAAAAAGCUCGUAGUUGAAUUUCGGGAUCAAUGUUUCGGUCAUGCCGUUGGUAUGUACUGAUAUUAUUGGUUUCUCACCUUCUAAAGAACCGUAAUGCCAUUAAUUUGGUGUCACGGGGAAUUAGGACUGUUACCUUGAAAAAAUUAGAGUGUUUAAAGCAGGCUCACGCUUGAAUACAUUAGCAUGGAAUAAUGAAAUAGGACAUCCGAUUCUAUUUUGUUGGUUUCUAGGAUCGAUGUAAUGAUUAAUAGGGAUAGUUGGGGGCAUUAGUAUUCAAUUGUCAGAGGUGAAAUUCUUGGAUUUAUUGAAGACUAACUACUGCGAAAGCAUUUGCCAAGGAUGUUUUCAUUAAUCAAGAACGAAAGUUAGGGGAUCGAAGACGAUCAGAUACCGUCGUAGUCUUAACCAUAAACUAUGCCGACUAGGGAUCGGAUGAUGUUAAUUUUUUAAUGACUCAUUCGGCGCCUUACG
rnacentral:rRNA from 1 species